GAACAAACGCUGGCGGCGUGCCUAAUCCAUGCAAGUCGAACGGGGAAAGCUUUCGGGUGAGUACUAGUGGCGCACGGGUGAGGAACGCGUGGAUAAUCUGCCUUAGAGUGGGGGAUAACUAGUCGAAAGAUUAGCUAAUACCGCAUAAGACCACGAGAGCUGCGGCUUUUGAGGUCAAAGGUUUUUCGCUCUAAGAUGAGUCCGCGUAAGAUUAGCUAGUUGGUGAGGUAACGGCUCACCAAGGCGACGAUCUUUAACUGGUCUGAGAGGAUGAUCAGUCACACUGGAACUGAGACACGGUCCAGACUCCUACGGGAGGCAGCAGUAGGGAAUAUUGCACAAUGGAGGAAACUCUGAUGCAGCGACGCCGCGUGAGUGAUGAAGGCCUUCGGGUCGUAAAGCUCUGUCGCAGGGGAAUAACACAAUGAAGGUACCCUGUAAGAAAGGAUCGGCUAACUUCGUG
rnacentral:rRNA from 1 species